rnacentral:rRNA from 1 species
GCUGGCGGCGUGCUUAACACAUGCAAGUCGAACGGAAAGCCCCUUUCGGGUGACUCGAGUGGCGAACGGGUGAGUAACACGUGGGUGAUCUGCCCUGCACUUUGGGAUAAGCCUGGGAAACUGGGUCUAAUACCGGAUAGGACUACGCGAUGCAUGUCGUGUGGUGGAAAGCUUUUGCGGUGUGGGAUGGGCCCGCGGCCUAUCAGCUUGUUGGUGGGGUGAUGGCCUACCAAGGCGACGACGGGUAGCCGGCCUGAGAGGGUGUCCGGCCACACUGGGACUGAGAUACGGCCCAGACUCCUACGGGAGGCAGCAGUGGGGAAUAUUGCACAAUGGGCGCAAGCCUGAUGCAGCGACGCCGCGUGAGGGAUGACGGCCUUCGGGUUGUAAACCUCUUUCAGCAUCGACGAAGCGCAAGUGACGGU